GUGAAUAUAGUUCAAUGGUAGAACAUCUGUAUGUGGAACAGAAAUUUCCCUGUUCGAGUCAGGGUAUUCACA
rnacentral:tRNA from 1 species